rnacentral:rRNA from 1 species
CGCGGCCUAUCAGCUUGUUGGUGAGGUAACGGCUCACCAAGGCGUCGACGGGUAGCCGGCCUGAGAGGGUGACCGGCCACACUGGGACUGAGACACGGCCCAGACUCCUACGGGAGGCAGCAGUGGGGAAUAUUGCACAAUGGGCGCAAGCCUGAUGCAGCAACGCCGCGUGAGGGACGACGGCCUUCGGGUUGUAAACCUCUUUUAGCAAGGAAGAAGCGAAAGUGACGGUACUUGCAGAAAAAGCGCCGGCUAACUACGUGCCAGCAGCCGCGGUAAUACGUAGGGCGCAAGCGUUAUCCGGAAUUAUUGGGCGUAAAGAGCUCGUAGGCGGUUCGUCGCGUCUGCUGUGAAAACCCGAGGCUCAACCUCGGGCCUGCAGUGGGUACGGGCGAACUAGAGUGCGGUAGGGGAGAUUGGAACUCCUGGUGUAGCGGUGGAAUGCGCAGAUAUCAGGAAGAACACCGAUGGCGAAGGCAGAUCUCUGGGCCGUAACUGACGCUGAGGAGCGAAAGGGUGGGGAGCAAACAGGCUUAGAUACCCUGGUAGUCCACCCCGUAAACGUUGGGAACUAGUUGUGGGGUCCACUCCACGGAUUCCGUGACGCAGCUAACGCAUUAAGUUCCCCGCCUGGGGAGUACGG